rnacentral:rRNA from 1 species
UACAGAGGGUGCAAGCGUUGUUCGGAAUUAUUGGGCGUAAAGCGCGUGUAGGCGGCUUUGCAAGUCGGGUGUGAAAUCCCUCGGCUCAACCGAGGAAGUGCGCCCGAAACUGCAGAGCUUGAGUACCGGAGAGGAUGGCGGAAUUCCCAGUGUAGUGGUGAAAUACGUAGAGAUUGGGAAGAACACCAGUGGCGAAGGCGGCUAUCUGGACGGUUUCUGACACUAAGACACGAAAGCGUGGGGAGCAAACAGG